rnacentral:lncRNA from 1 species
UACCUUUAAAAGACCUGGCAUUGGUCUAUUCAGUUAGUUCAUUUUAUUAAGAGCCUGUCACAUGCCAAACGCACAGACGGGUAGGAGUCCGUCUUAUCCCAUUAGGCAUCAUGAAAGUCAAGAAGGGAGCUGCCGGGGAACUCUGUCAGGAUACCUGGUGGCUUCUUGACAAAAAGAACUGAGUGGCUCUACUCCCAACAUGGCAGCAAGUGUGUUUUCAGAAAAGGCAGAACCUUGGAGCCAUCUUCCCUUUUACCAUCCUUCCAUCUUCCUCAGCUACCCAAUAAAAGCCUGGCUUUUCCAAGCACUAGAGUCCCUUCUGUGCAGUCCUGGCACCAGCUGAAGAGCUCAUGAGAGGCUGGAGGGUAGAGAUGAU